rnacentral:rRNA from 1 species
AUGAACGCUGGCGGCGUGCUUAACCCAUGCCAGUCGCACGGAAAGGCCCAAGCUUGCUUGGGUACUCGAGUGGCGAACGGGUGAGUAACACGUGGGUGAUCUGCCCUGCACUUCGGGAUAAGCCUGGGAAACUGGGUCUAAUACCGGAUAGGACCACAUUUUGGAUGGUGUGGUGGAAAGUUUUUCGGUGUGGGAUGAGCUCGCGGCCUAUCAGCUUGUUGGUGGGGUAAUGGCCUACCAAGGCGUCGACGGGUAGCCGGCCUGAGAGGGUGUACGGCCACAUUGGGACUGAGAUACGGCCCAGACUCCUACGGGAGGCAGCAGUGGGGAAUAUUGCACAAUGGGCGCAAGCCUGAUGCAGCGACGCCGCGUGGGGGAUGACGGCCUUCGGGUUGUAAACUCCUUUCGCUAGGGACGAAGCGUUUUUGUGACGGUACCUGGAGAAGAAGCACCGGCUAACUACGUG